CCAGCUGAGGCUGAGGGACUCUCCUCAGAAGGACCCACCACAAAAGAAGGAAAAGGAAGGAAACUGAAGGCAGCGACUUGGAAACAGAUCUCCUUCUUGAGGCCUCGGUGAACACUAUGGAGACCAACUGUGCCUGUGCUUCAGCUCUGAGGUCACAAACCUGACACAAACAUUCCUUAAGCUCUGAGGCAGAUAUUUAUCUUUGGACCCAGUAAGGUGUGAGGUGCCUUGUUCAAGGCCUCGGCCUUAUGCGGUCACCAGCCUGUGGGCUAGCCUUUCAGGAGCAGGUUUACCCAACCACUCACAUGUCCACACCCAUGCGCCCCUGGCGCUACCUGCGGGGCCUCCAUGCUCUCCAGCUUUCCCAGUUUGCUCCCACUCGCUCUGGUCCUUGCACGGGCUCCCGACCUGAUGCUGAGGAGGUACAGGCUUACGUGUCUAGUGUUCAAAGUUCAGACUAGCAGGCCUCCAGGCAAGCUCACCUGAUACUGUAGGCUCCGACAACACCAGUCAGCUUCCCUGGGCUUAGGUCUUUUGGCUCCUCAGCUAAGAGCUCCCUGGUGAGGAGGAGCAGCUCCUGGGAAUUAGGUCUCUCCUGACAAGUGCCUGUUAGAGCUGUUUUUGCUUCUCCUUCUGCUGACCUCUAAGAUCUUGAGCCUUCUUAUUCUUCUGAUUUUGAUUUUCGAGUAAGAUCUUGCUAUAGCUCUCUUGUCUCUUCUGCCAUUUCUGUUUCUACUGCUUUGAAUCUCUCUCUGUCUCUAUGUCUAUCCAGUGCAGGCUCUGUAUCCAUGCCUAGCAUGUAUAAACUUUUACAAUGGUAAUAAUUUUAUUCAGACUGCUAUAUCUUCAAGACAAGAAACUUUUUCUUUCUCCAUAAGUAGGUGACGAAAUAGUCUUUCUACUUCAAAGAUUAUGCCAUGGUAGCAACCACUGGAUGUGUGCAGUAAGGCCCAACUUCCUGGAACUCAGCCAGACUUCACUGUAAUAAUUCCUGAAGAAGCCUGAGCAUUGUUUCCAGUGGUGGAUCUUUAUAUCCAAAGAAUUUGUGACAAACCAACACUCAUCUACCAUCCACAACAUCCACAGUCUAUUGUACAUAGGAAAGCCAUGGGGCAUCACAGUUCAGACACACAUGGAGUGCAGUAUGCUUCUCUGCAUACACUGAAGGCAAAUGGAAGGACACUGAAGGGCAGAGUACCAUGCAGGGAAGAAAAGGAAAGAGGAAUGCCCAUUCAGGAACAGAAAGCUAAGUUAAAACAUCAUCCCAGGAUGAAUCUCGGUUUUGCAAAAUGCUGUAGGACACCCUCAUUAAUUCAAUUUCUAACAAAUAGAAAUGCUUCUGGGUAUUACAAAAUCCUUUUCAAAUGCCCUUCUUCAUCAAGUCUAGCACUGGAAUAUCACUGGACUAUCCUUAUAUUUAAUGCAUACCUGGAAUAUAUGCAUACUAUUUCUUGCAUACUUGGAAUAUACCAGACACAUUUAUGGAUGAUGUUUGUGAGAUAUCAGUGGCCAACACAGAGAAGAUCCCUUCCUGGUCUACGGCCCUCGCCUUCUAGUGAGGUGGACAGAUGAGGAAAAGCAAAGAUGACCAUCUCAGACCGUAAGAGCUGCUCUUCAGGCUGGACCACGAGGCAGAAUGUUCACGUGACUGAGCACUCACACAGAGAAGAUGCACAAGCACAAACUGAACCAGGGAAAGGAGCCAGGCACGGGGAAACAGGGAAAUAACACUCAGGCAAAGGGCCCAAGGCUGCAAUGGCAAGAAAGAGGAUGGCUUUGCCAGCUUGGGCUAUCUACAGAGCUGCAGUCUGAGACAAAGCCUGACGGGUCCCUGGGGCAGCACGGCUGGAUCUUACAUAAAAUCAAUGGUUUUGUCUGCUGCUGACAUGGCUGCAGGAACUUCCCACCAUCAGCUUCAUCGGUGCAUGUCUUUAUUACUCUCAUGGCCUUCAUUUUAAUAUCUUCUGUUGUUUUUUGUUAACAUUUAAUAUUUCAUGUGUCUGUAGCUUACCUUUACAGCAGCAUACAGUGACAUCCUUUGCCUGGGCAUUCUCAUCCGUUCUGUCGCUCUGUUCUAGCGUGCAUUUUAGGAAAAUGUGCAUUUGUCUUGGUCUGUGCAGUCUAUAUAAAGUGUAAAUUCCCAAGGCAUUCCUAUAGAUUUGCUUUGGAUUGAAAAGGUCUUAGGGACCAGGAAGAUUUGAACACUUAGAUUUUUACCUAAAGAUUCUUUUUCCAUAGCUCCAAGUAACAAAACCAAUGAUCCCCUUUUAGGAUAUUACUGGUGUUAGAAGCCGCAUUGUUGCAAGUUAUAAGGGCAUGCCUAGAAAUGCCAAACCGAAAGGACUCAGAACAUUUCUCUUCUUUAAUAAGCUCCACUCAUGUUUCCAGAAGUCUAGAAGUUUCCUCCAUGGCUCUCAUUCCAGAAAAAAAAAUGAGUAGUUCAAAAUCUUAUUCUUAAGUAAAUAUACCUAAAUAUGGGUACGUCUGAAAUAGAAUCAGCCCCAUGGUACAGCAGUGCUGUACCUAUCAGCAUGCUUUCUGCAGCUGGGAUAGUGGCAGGCGGCCAGUGUGUUAUCCUCUAAUCCAUUGCGAGUCUACCUUCUGAGUGUUAUAAAUAUUCAUACAUGCCAUAGAAAGCUAUAAAGGGCUUUAUUCAAACAUUUUUUUGAAUACCCCUUUAUGCUUCCCCCAAAAGAAAGAAUGCCUGAAAAUAAUUUUUUUUGCAUAAGGAUAAGAAUGUGAGUUCUCCUUUGUUCAUACUCAAAAAUCCUGAAAACCAAUAAGCAGUAAAUUCUCUAAUCCUCAUUUCAUACCUCAAGGGUGAAGACGCUGAAAACACAAACAAACAAACAGCGUUGGCACGCUGGCCUGCUGUGCCUGUGGAGGCCAGCACCACAGAGAGGUGUUGGUGGCCCUGGUUGCCCUUGGUGACUUCUGCCCCUGCCAGGGGCUCCCACUGGGGACACAGCCCAGCAGGUCCACACACACACAGACUGCCGACUCUGCUUGCACCUGGUCUUUGUUGACGGAUGCCUGACAAGAACCUAGAGCAUACAACAUGUCUUUCUCCAAGGCACUUAGGGCUAACUGUAGAUGAGGGUGACAGUAGUGGUGCCCAGAAGAAGGAUGGGCCAGCUGGUGGGAGAAAAAUGCUGGAAAGGUAGCCAACACUGAUUGAUCAAUGUUGACUGAUAAUGUCAUGUUGAUAGGUCAGGUUUAGAAAGCCAAUCAAAUCUAUUUUGAUUUGAACUUAUACUUAGUUUUCUACUAACACCUAACUUGUGGAAGGGCAUUUCUGAAAUGACUCUGUCUGGUAAUAUGAUUUAUCAAAUAAAAUAAAGCUUAGAAAGCUGCUGGCACAGAGGGC
ensembl:antisense